rnacentral:snoRNA from 1 species
AAAUCAUGGUUAAGACAAUCCCUAGUGUACUCCUUGAAACGUUCUAACGCUUUAAAGAAUGACUCCGUGGCUCUUUGCUUGAAACUUGAGAUUUUGUUCCUCAUGGAACU